rnacentral:rRNA from 1 species
CCUACGGGGGGCAGCAGUGGGGAAUAUUGCACAAUGGGGGAAACCCUGAUGCAGCGACGCCGCGUGAGUGAAGAAGGAUUUCGGUAUGUAAAGCUCUAUCAGCAGGGAAGAAGCAGGACGGUACCUGACUAAGAAGCCCGGGCUAACUACGUGCCAGCAGCCGCGGUAAGACGUAGGGGGCAAGCGUUAUCCGGAUUUACUGGGGGUAAAGGGAGCGAGGGCGGUAUGGCAAGUCUGAAGUGAAAGCCCAGGGCUUAACCCUGGGACUGCUUUUGAAACUGUUAGACUAGAGUGCUGGAGAGGUAAGUGGAAUUCCUAGUGUAGCGGUGAAAUGCGUAGAUAUUAGGAGGAACACCAGUGGCGAAGGCGGCUUACUGGCCAGUAACUGACGCUGAGGCUCGAAAGCGUGGGGAGCAAACAGGAUUAGAUACCCGUGUAGUC